rnacentral:rRNA from 1 species
CAGCAGCCACGGUAAUACGAAGGGUGCAAGCGUUAAUCGGAAUUACUGGGCGUAAAGGGAGCGUAGGCGGACAUUUAAGUCAGGGGUGAAAUCCCGGGGCUCAACCUCGGAAUUGCCUUUGAUACUGGGUGUCUUGAGUAUGAGAGAGGUAUGUGGAACUCCGAGUGUAGAGGUGAAAUUCGUAGAUAUUCGGAAGAACACCAGUGGCGAAGGCGACAUACUGGCUCAUUACUGACGCUGAGGCUCGAAAGCGUGGGGAGCAAACAGGAUUAGAUACCCCGGUAGUCCCUGUCUCUUAUAC